GAGCGGACUUGAAGGAGUGCUUGCACUCCUGAGAGUUAGCGGCGGACGGGUGAGUAACACGUAGGCAACCUGCCCUCAAGACUGGGAUAACUACCGGAAACGGUAGCUAAUACCGGAUAAUUUAUUACAUAGCAUUAUGUGAUAAUGAAAGACGGAGCAAUCUGUCACUUGGGGAUGGGCCUGCGGCGCAUUAGCUAGUUGGUGGGGUAACGGCCCACCAAGGCGACGAUGCGUAGCCGACCUGAGAGGGUGAACGGCCACACUGGGACUGAGACACGGCCCAGACUCCUACGGGAGGCAGCAGUAGGGAAUCUUCCGCAAUGGGCGAAAGCCUGACGGAGCAACGCCGCGUGAGUGAUGAAGGUUUUCGGAUCGUAAAGCUCUGUUGCCAAGGAAGAACGUCUCAUAGAGUAACUGCUAUGAGAGUGACGGUACUUGAGAAGAAAGCCCCGGCUAACUACGUGCCAGCAGCCGCGGUAAUACGUAGGGGGCAAGCGUUGUCCGGAAUUAUUGGGCGUAAAGCGCGCGCAGGCGGUUCUUUAAGUCUGGUGUUUAAACCUGGGGCUCAACUUCAGGUCGCACUGGAAACUGGGGAACUUGAGUGCAGAAGAGGAGAGUGGAAUUCCACGUGUAGCGGUGAAAUGCGUAGAUAUGUGGAGGAACACCAGUGGCGA
rnacentral:rRNA from 1 species